CGCCUGUAAGUGGAAUUGAUCAUAAACCCAGAAAGGAAGAUUUCACUGAUAAUUGGAGACAUGAAUCUCAAACAUCAAGAUCAAAAUGCUUAGCAUCAAGAAAAACUUUAAAAAACCCACAGAAGAAAGAUGGGCAAAAUUUGUAGAUUGAUGAUGCUUAAAACAGUCUCAAAAACACCAAUCCAAAAGCUGACAACUUUUUGAGAUUGGAAGUCAAGAAAAUAAUAGCAGGUUUCAAUCAAUAUAGAGGUUUAUAUAAAAGAUCAAGAAGUGGGUACUUGAUUUCGGAUCAAGAAAUUGAAAUCCAAGAUCAAGAUUGAGGAAAAACACAUGGAAGAUGAUGAUGGCUUAAGUUCAAAGGUAGAGCUUUAAGAAAAAAAAAAAUCAAGAAGAAGGAAAAAGAGCACAGAAAGACGCCAAAGUUUUGCCGAGAAGGAGAAAGAAAAUGGGAAGGGGGCUUACAAGUAAG
rnacentral:misc_RNA from 1 species